rnacentral:rRNA from 1 species
GGAUCCAGACUUUGAUUAUGGCUCAUGAUGAACGCUAGCGGCAGGCUUAACACAUGCAAGUCGAGGGGCAGCGCGGGGCAGCAAUGUUCUGGCGGCGACCGGCGGAAGGGUGCGUAACGCGUGAGCGACAUGCCCGUUGCCCGGGGACAACCGGUGGAAACGCCGACUAAUCCCCGAUGGGACGGAGGCCCUCAUGGGUCUCCGUUGAAAGUUACGGCGGCGACGGAUUGGCUCGCGUCCGAUUAGCUUGUUGGCGGGGUAACGGCCCACCGAGGCUACGAUCGGUAGGGGUUCUGAGAGGAAGGUCCCCCACAAUGGAACUGAGACACGGUCCAUACUCCUACGGGAGGCAGCAGUGAGGAAUAUUGGUCAAUGGGCGGAAGCCUGAACCAGCCAUGCCGCGUGCGGGAAGGAGGCCCUAUGGGCUGUGAACCGCUUUUGCCUGGGGGCAAUAAGGGCGUCGUGCACGUCCGAUGAGAGUACCAGGCGAAUAAGCAUCGGCUAACUCCGUGCCAGCAGCCGCGGUAAUACGGGGGAUGCGAGCGUUAUCCGGAUUCAUUGGGUUUAAAGGGUGCGUAGGCUGUGCGUCAAGUCAGGGGUGAAAUUCCGGGGCUCAACUCCGGGGCUGCCCUUGAUACUGUCGCGCUGGAGUGCGGAUGCCGCCGGAGGAAUGAGUGGUGUAGCGGUGAAAUGCUUAGAUAUCACUCAGAACACCGAUUGCGAAGGCAUCUGGCGAAUCCGUAACUGACGCUGAGGCACGAAAGCGUGGGGAUAGAACAGGAUUAGAUACCCUGGUAUUCCACGCCGUAAACGAUGAUGGCUAACCGCCGGCGACACACUGUCGGUGGCCAAGCGAAAGCGAUAAGCCAUCCACCUGGGGAGUACGUCGGCAACGAUGCAACUCAAAUGAAUUGACGG